rnacentral:rRNA from 1 species
GACGAACGCUGGCGGCGUGCUUAACACAUGCAAGUCGAACGGAAAGGCCCUGCUUUUGUGGGGUGCUCGAGUGGCGAACGGGUGAGUAACACGUGAGUAACCUGCCCUUGACUUUGGGAUAACUUCAGGAAACUGGGGCUAUUACCGGAUAGGAGCUCCUGCUGCAUGGUGGGGGUUGGAAAGUUUCGGCGGUUGGGGAUGGACUCGCGGCUUAUCAGCUUGUUGGUGGGGUAGUGGCUUACCAAGGCUUUGACGGGUAGCCGGCCUGAGAGGGUGACCGGCCACAUUGGGCCUGAGAUACGGCCCAGACUCCUACGGGAGGCAGCAGUGGGGAAUAUUGCACAAUGGGCGGAAGCCUGAUGCAGCAACGCCGCGUGCGGGAUGACGGCCUUCGGGUUGUAAACCGCUUUCGCCUGUGACGAAGCGUGAGUGACGGUAAUGGGGAAAGAAGCACCGGCUAACUACGU